rnacentral:rRNA from 1 species
UACGGGAGGCAGCAGUGGGGAAUAUUGCGCAAUGGGCGAAAGCCUGACGCAGCCACGCCGCGUGAGUGAUGAAGGCCUUCGGGUUGUAAAGCUCUGUCGGGAGGGACGAAAGGAGCAAUCCUUGACGGUACCUCGCAAGAAAGCACCGGCUAACUCUGUGCCAGCAGCCGCGGUAAUACAGAGGGUGCAAGCGUUGCUCGGAUUUACUGGGCGUAAAGCGUACGCAGACGGUGAGAAAGGUCGGAUGUGAAAGCCCCGGGCUCAACCCGGGAACUGCAUCCGAAACCAUCUCGCUAGAGUAUGGGAGAGGGAAGCGGAAUUCCUGGUGUAGAGGUGAAAUUCGUAGAUAUCAGGAGGAACAUCUGCGGCGAAGGCGGCUUCCUGGCCCAUUACUGACGUUCAGGUACGAAAGCGUGGGCAGCAAACAGGAUUAGAUACCCUGGUAGUCCACGCUGUAAACGAU